AAAAAAUAAAAGAGAUUAUCAGGAACAAUCUCUUAGGGUCAACCUUGAAAUGCUUGCAUAAUUUUCACCAUCUAGGACCCACACUCAUGGUUAUUAUUACAUAUCUCGUUGAGAGUAUGAGAGCGAGUUCUUGAGCAAUAUUCUGCAAAUAGAAGGCUAGUAAUUGUAGAACCAGUAAAUUGAAAGUGCAAUAAAGAAAGUAGAGCAAUAUAAUGCAGCUGAAUUUUAAAAUGAUUCUGCACAAACUGUCUAUGUUUACUCCUCCAGCUCUUCUCUCGCACAAAGCCGACAGAGAGGGCUCGUAUAAAUUCCUCUUUUGCUUUAUUGGGGUAAGGAGAGCUCGUUCUUCCAGGAAAGGGCACCUCUCUGAGUUCUCUGUUUAACUUGGGCUGUAUAAGCAGCUCUUAGCCAAGGAAACACGCAACUCUGUGUAUGUAAGAAAUUUACAAUGAAGUGCUCUGAAGGUGAAAAGAGAGGAGAACUUUAGCUUAAUGAAGGCUUAUGACACUUUGAAGAUGCGAAUGUGAGUUUCCUAUGGUGCUGGAAACCGUUCUUGCUGGUAAAUUGAUAAAAAUCAUGAAGACAGUGCGGUAAGUUCUUCGCAUCUGUGUUAUUUUAGCGAGUAUUUACAGACUUUACGAACUUUUUUGUUUUGGUCAUGCAGCUCUUUGUUUUGUUCCUUUACCUUUGCUUUGAAAUUUGAACGAUUCAACUAAAAUCUCUGCAACUCUUAAGAACAAUAAUCAUUUAUAGGAGCUGCUCUGCUGCAUUAUAUUA